ensembl:snRNA U1 U1 spliceosomal RNA
AUACUUACCUGGCCCGGGAGCGUCCAUGAGCACAAAGGUGGCUUCCCCAGAGCCAGGCUUAUCCACUGCCCUUCCGAGGAUGCGCUGACCCCUGCUACUUCCGCAAAUUUGGGAAACUCAACUGCAUGGUUUGUGGUAGUGGGGGGUGCGAACGCAAA